rnacentral:rRNA from 1 species
UUCCGGUUGAUCCUGCCGGACCCCACUGCUAUCGGGAUAGGACUAAGACAUGCUAGUCGUGUGCCUCAGCCAAAACGAGGCACGGCGCACAGCUCAGUAACACGUGGCUAACCUGCCCUUAGGACGAGAAUAACCCCGGGAAACUGGGGCUAAUGCUCGAUAGGUGAAGAACUCUGGAAUGAGUCUUCACUUAAAAGAGUCUGCGUUAUGCUCGUAGAUUUCGCUUAAGGAUGGGGCCGCGACCGAUCAGGUUGUUGGUGAGGUAAUGGCUCACCAAGCCUUUUACCGGUGCGGGCCGUGAGAGCGGGAGCCCGGAGAUGGGCACUGAGACAAGGGCCCAGGCCCUACGGGGCGCAGCAGUCGCGAAAACUUUGCAAUACACGAAAGUGUGACAGGGCUAUCCCGAGUGCCAUCCGC